GUCCUGGCCGGGCCCAGCAAGCUAUUUUUGGGCCCGUUUAUUGAUGGGACGCCGGUGCCCGGCUGGACUCCUGAUUCAAGAGGAAGGCCUCAGGCUGGCCUAGGGCUCUGCUUCUCCAGGCCCUUUCCUGCCCUGGGACAGCCAUCAUUCGUGUCCUGUCUACAGCCUAGGACAUAUUCUGGAGCCUGGUUUGAUUCACAGGAGACAGAACCCAGAAUGAACACAGGAACACAUUUUGAGGGCAGAUGAAGAGUCGAGGACCCAGUACAUCGUGGGUGCUCUGAAGCCCAGGAGCCUGCUGGACAUAUGGAGGAAAAGAAUGAACUUCUUCGAGACUAAGCUUCACCUGGGAAGGUCUGUGUCCCCCGCUGGUACCAAGAACGCAAGGUCUGUGGCUGUUACGUUCACCCUUGAUUCCCCAGUGCCUGGAACAGUGCUUGGAACCGAGGUCUAACACUGCUUGACCCAUGGGAGGCAGCAUGGAACAUAGGGAGAAGAAAUGAAUGAACCAGCCCUUCCUACCAUCUCCCACUGUACUGGGAGCUCUAGAGACAGCAAGAGAGGGAACACAAGCAGGGAGAGUGGGAGAGGGAGAAGCAGGCCUCCUGACGAGCGGGGAGCCUGAUGCGGGGCUCGAUCCCAGGACCCUGGGACCAUGACCUGAGCCAAAGGCAGACGCUUAAUGACGGAGCCACCCAGGCGCCCCUUCAGUUGGUCUUCUUGUUGGAGGGUUGUGGUGAGCCCACACUUAUGAAGGGCAGAGCCACGUCUGGAUUACAGCAGGUGCCCGGUAAACGCUAAGCUGGGCCUCAGCGUGUGACACCGGCUGACCUUCUCAACUUUUCCUUCUCUUCCUGUCAACUCGUUGCAACUGCCCACAGUGAGGGCCGUGAACCGGUGAGGGGCUCAAAUUGAGAGAUCCAGUACACCUGGGCUCAAAGCCGGCCUCCUCCCCUCCCCAGCUACCUGGUUUCAUAGGAACCCCUUGCCCUGUCAGAACCUCAGUUCCCACGUCUACCUCUCAGGCUCCUUUCUGUUUCCCCAAAAUAGCUGUCAUGGCUGUACCUAGGCUGCAAGAGAGGCUAAGAAAGUGAGUUUUCUGGCAUCUACCUUGGGGAGGCAUGGGGUCCUAAGGUUGGUGCUAUCUACCCAGAUUUGCUCUGAGACACAGAAUGGGGUGAAGGGGGGUCUGGAAGGGCAAACAGAGGAUAUCUGCUUCUCACCCCAUCUGGAAGAGAAGCUCAUCCCAUGCUAUUCCACUAUCCUACCUGUUUAUGUGUCCAGCAGUUUAUACCACAUGACUUUACUUAUUUAUUCACUUAUUUUCUAGUCUAUUCUCCCAACACUGAUAUUGUCAACAUCAUGAGGGGCGGGCCUUUAUCUUGAUCACUUUAUGUCAUCAGGGCCUAAAGCCCAGCCAGGCACAUAGUUUGUGUUAAAUAAAUGGCUGAAUAAAUAAAUGGAGAGACGAUUGGAUGGAUGGAUGGAUGGAUGGAUGGAUGGAUGGAUGGAUGGAUGGAUAGAUGGAUGGAUAGAUGGGUGGAUGAUGAAUGGAUGGAUGGAUGGAUGGAUGGAUGGAUAGAUGGAUGGAUAGAUGGGUGGAUGAUGAAUGGAUGGAUAGAUGAUGGGAUGGAUGGAUGGUGGAUGGAUAGGUGGAUGAUUCAGUGCAUGGAUGGGUGGAUGGGUGGAUGAUGGAUGGAUGGAUAGAUGGAUGAUUCAGUGGAUGGAUGGAUGGAUGAUGGAUGGAUGGAUGGGUGGAUGGAUGGAUGGAUGGGUGGUUGAUGGAUGGUUGGAUGGAUGGAUAGAUAACUAGUUGGGCACAUCAGAAUCAAUUAAAGAGCUUAGAUAGUACACACACACACACACACACACAGGGGUCCAAGCCCUGCUCCAAAAAUAAAAAUAAAAGCCAACAUUUAAUGAGUACUUACUGUAUACCAGGCCCCAUGUGCAGCCUAUGAGGUAGGGCAUUUCACUGAACCUCACGGCCACCCUCUGAGCUAGUAACUAAUACUAAUCUUUUUUUUUUUAAAGAUUUUAUUUAUUUAUUUGAGAGAGAGAGAGAGAGAGCACGAGCAGGGGCCGGGUUUGGAGAGCGGCAGAGAGAGAGGGAGAAACAGACUCCCCACUGAGCAGGGGGUCCCUGGACCCCGAGAUCAUGACCUGAGCUGAAGGCAGACGCUUACCUGACUGAGCCACCCAGGUGCCCACUAAUCUUUUUUUUUUUUAGAGGACAAACCUGAGGCUCAGAGAGCUAGUCACUGACCCCAGGUCACACAGCUCCAGGAGGUGGAGGAGCCAAGAUUCAAGUCAAGAUCUGUUUGAUUCCAGAACCAAGCUUGGCCUCACUGGGCGGGCGGGGAUGCCCGGGAGUCUGGGGGGUCCUCAGGGCUCCACAGGUGAUUCUGAUAUGCAGCCAGGUGGCGAACCCUUGAGCAGGGCAGUGAGUUCUGGGAAGAGUGCUGGCUCUGGGGCCGGCUGACUCCUGCACCGUCCUGCAGCCUACCUCCUCUUCUCUGACACGGAGUGGGGUUUCAGGAGGCCGGAAGGAGCAGAGCAGCAUGCCUGCUGGAUGGUAAGCACGGGGGACUCACCCUGCAGGUCCUGUUGGUGCAGCAACAGCCGCAUUUUUAGUCCCUGGACUGGGGGCCAGUCGCCCCCCUGCUCCUUCUCCCAGCUCCCCGGUACACAUUCCCAGCUUCCCGGUGGGGAGCUUGAGACACGCGGCAGAAGACCCCACGGGGGCACUCAGGAGGCUUCAGCAUGUGGGUGCAGAGCAGGGAUGCUGUCGAGACUCCUGCCCAGAAACACAUCCCGCACCGAUCCUCCCACACGCAGGUGUGCGACCCAGCCGGCCAACACCGUGCGUGCAGGUCUGACAGCAAAAGCCAGGAAACCGGCCUGAUAGUGGUCGCAGCUGAUGUGUGUGUACAGGGCAGGCUUUCUCCACUCAGGUGGCCGUGUAGACUGUUAGCAGCGUCCCUGGUAUCAGUAGCAUUCCCUCCAUCCCGGUUGUGACAACCAGGAAUGUCUUCAGACAUGGCCAAUGUCUCCUGGCAGAGAACCCGUGGUCUAGAGUUUGCUCCAUGCGGGGCACAGGUGCGCAUACUCUGCAGAAGGCACCUCCUCCUCGAGACCCUUACGCCUGGAGACGGAUGCUUUUCGUCCUUCUACUGUACAGAGGCAGAGACGGCCAGGUUAGUGGUUUGCCCAAGGUCACGGGGCUGACAUUUCAGCAAUGCUGUGAUUUGAACCUGUGUUAAGUCCCAGGUCCCUCUUUUUCAAGUCGAUUUUUGUGGGUCCCUUGGACUUCUCCCCAUUCACAACCAUGUUGUCCGUGACUAGAUGUAAUCUCAUUUCUGCUUUUCCCAUGUGGCUACCUUGGCGCAUUCCAGAACAGACUUGCAGGGCAUGAAUUAUAGCCCAAGCAGAUUCUGUAAUCUGCACAGGAUUCUUUCUUUCCGGAAGUUAGAUUUGCUCAAUUAUCGACAAUUUGGAAAAUACAGAAUAAAAAGAAAAAAUAAAAUUUCGUAUUGGACUUCCCACAAAAGGCUCACUUUCUAGCAGCCUUGUCCUCUGAGAAGCUCUCUCUGCUUUGAAAUUUUAUCAUCCAGUUGCAAUCACACUAUAUAAUACAAAUUCCCCAAACUACAAAACCAGGUUUUUUUUUCAUGUUAUUACAAAAUCCUCUUGGACACUAUUUGUAAUUGUUGCCUGUUGUGGCCGAGACCCCAGUUUCUCCUCCAUUCUCUGACCUCUCCCUCUUCUUUCAUAAUAGAAAUCUCAAGUUUUAGCUGGGCAUGUGGCCACCCAGAAAAAAACUACAUUUCCCAGAUGUGUCCAUGUGACUAAGUUCUGGCCAAUGAUACAUAAGUAACUUCCAAGUAGUGUCCUCAGAGAGAGGGCGCCUGCUCUUCUUUGUAUCCUCCUUGCUGGCUGGAAUGCAGGCGUGAUGGCCAGAAUCAGAGUGGCAAUUUUGGGCCAUGGUGGAGCAAUAAGAGAAAAGGUACCUGAGUCCUGGAUGAAUUUAUAAAAACACCCUACCAGCCCUGGAUAGCCACCUCCACACUUCUUUUCGAUAAGAGAGAAACAAACUUCUGUUUCAUUUAUGCCCCUGGCAUUUGGGGUUUUUAGCCACUCAAAGAUGAACCUAAUCCUGAGUAUUGCACUAACAUUGUGCUGGAGGAAUUGUCUCUAACAUUCUUUUAGGAAUUACCACCUAAGUAGCUCAACUGUUCCCUGGCGAUUGGGCAAUUAGGUAGUUUCAGACUCCCCGCUACUCUAAAAUAAUUCUGUGGUGAACAUCUCUGUGCAUUUUCACUAUUUGUGGUUAUUUCCUCAGUACACAAUUCCAGAAUAGGGACUUGGUUGGGGGGGUCAAAAAACAUGAACCUUCUUAAUGCCUGUUAAUAACCAUCCGCCCAAGUGGGCCAGAGUCAGGAUGGGAGGCUACAUCGCCAGGAGAGAGGCUUGGGUUUCAUGGAAUAGCUGCCCCAGGGAAGCUGCUUUGUCGCUGAGGACCCCUCCCCCUGCAUCUGCUAGAGCUGGUGCCUUCUCCUCCGCACCCCCUCCUGUCCUUCUCUUCUAAUCACACGUCUCUGGGAGGCAUGUCUCCCUGAUGAAGCCCAGACCCCAUGCCUGCACCAAGCUGCAAGGGAGGCUGGGAAAGUGAGUUUUUGGCAUCUUCCUCCGGGAGAAUGGCCACUGGGGAAGGAGUUUCCUUGAAGCGGAUAUACAAGGUGUGGGGCAGCCAGAAAGUAGGGCGAAGCUUAGCUCCCUAAGCAAAGACCUACUGGGCUGGGGAGGAAUGCAGAAAGGCUUCCUGCCUCACUUUUUAAUUCGUCCUCCACUUAUCCUGAAGACCAGCAGGCAGAAGUAAAGAGGACAAGGAUAUCAUUCCCACUGGUGUCACCCUGGCAGUUUACCCAGCUCUGCAAGGGCUGCCUUAGAGCUGGGGACCCACACCUGGCAGAGCACAAGCCCCGUUCUCACCCCGUCGCCUGCAACCAGCAAGUCAACCUGGGUGUCAUGAUGUGAUGUAGGUGUGUCUCCCAGACGGCAUCCUUCAAGAGGAGGACCUGUCCUCCUUACCCACUCUAGUACUCCCAGCACCCAGAUGGGCCGUGGUGCAUGCUAGGUGCUCAAUGCAUAAAUCUUGAAUGAAUGAAUGAAUGAAUGAGUGAAUGAUGGCCAUCUGUUCUUAGUCCUGGAAGGAAGCUUGGAAUCCUGAAAUGAACAUUUAUCGAUGCAGCCAAUAUUUCCUGAGUAUUGACCAUGCUCCUGGCCCUGUUUUAGGUACUGGGGAUACUGUAGGAAAGAAGACAAAGUAACUUCCUGCCCUCAUGGUGGGGGAGAUGAACAGUAAAUGAGAAAACCCCAAAAUAUUGAUAUAGCAUAAUAUAAUAUGAUAUAACAUGAUACCAGGUCCUGGCAUAUGUUUUAUGAAGAAGUGCAAAACUGGGUAAGUGACUGAGAGAUGCUAAUUUAGAAAAAAAUGGUUGCAGAAUUGCUCUCUGAGAUGGUGACAUUUGAUGAGAGACCUGAGGUAGGCUAGCUGAGUAAAUAUCCGUGGGAAGCACGGGGAACAGGCAGUGCAAAGGCCCUGCGGUAGGACUGAGCUUCGUGUAUGUUAUUUGCAACAAGGCAGCCAGGGAGGCAAGGGUUACACUGGGUUUCCCAACUUCAGCAAAUCCACAGAACCCUUAACUGUCGGAAACAGUGGGGUGGGGGUGGGAUGAGUUCUUUACUCUUAAGCUUCUCUGGAAAAACAUGAUGUCAGGGACAGACAGUAAAUCUUGACUUGUCCCAGAAAACAAUGGGCCUACAAAAACCAGUAAAGUGUCAGGCUGAAAGUAAAUGCCAAAGGGCUGGGGCACGGGUAG